GCUUCGGACUCAAUAAAUUUACACCAGUUCGAUCACUAGGCCCUAGACAGCGCAGGCUAAUUUUUUUUUUUUAUAAAAGUCAUUGAACACUGUUAAUCAUAUUAAAUCUUAAAGUCGAGUAUCUUUGGAUAUGGGGUAACUCAUAUCAAUUCUUGUUUAUAAAGAUUUAUUCACUUUCCCACAAAUUACACAAAUACAAAAACGUUCACGGUAGCUCAAUCGGUAGAGCACUUGCUCCGUGAUCGGGAGGUCGUGAGCUUGUAUCUCGAUCGGCUGCAACUGACCUAGUCGAUAAAAUGGGUAGCAACUGUUCCUUUGCUAUGUGAUCGGCACUUUGAAGUGAAAGUUGCGGGUCCUUCGGAUGAGACCUUAAAAACCGAGAUCCCGUGCCAGCGGUAGGCAUUGGCACAAUAAAGAUCUCUUACUGCUCAAUGGCCCUGAGUGCCGAGUAAAGGACAAAAUUUGAAGCCCUUACGGUGACGUCUCCAUAUGAGUGAAAAAUUCUCGAGAUGGACGGAAAACAAUAUACAAUCAAUUAAUCACUAAUACAAAACAGAGGUAUAUGUAAAUAAAUAUACACGACAUUUUGAAAAUACAUCGGGAACAAAAAAGAGGUAAUAAAACCUAGUUUGAAAGUUUAUUUAUGGAGAGGGGGAGAAAGAGAGGGAGAAAGUGAGAAAGAUGAGGGGCACACUCUUUAUAGAAUAAGUAAGAGUAGGACAAUUAUUGAAGUUUUUCAACUUUUUCCUACCAGUGUGUUUCAAAUUCAUCAUAUUUACAAUUUUUUAACAAAAGAAUUUUUUUCUACUCUAAUUCUUUCAGUAGUAACAUUUUUCAAAGCCUCAACAUUCAAUUUUUUUUUGCCAAAAUUGGAAAACUUCAUUCUAAAACAUUAACUAAGAAAGGUUUAUUCAUCACAUAGGACCUUAUCACUAAAUUCUGUUUUAUUUUUUUUUUUUUUUUGUAGGAGGGCCUCAGUCAGAAAAGAAAAAUUAUACAAAGGGUGAUUUUGUAGAGGAGUUGGUGUCCAAGUUCCCGAAGAUAUGUGAUAUACGGAGAGUGAAAUCUAAUCCCACCUGUAUAAAAUUCUCGAGGCAAAAUUAUACAAGUUUUGAUCGAGAAGGUAUUAGGUUAUCUCGAUCUGAAAGAAAAAAUAUUUUAUCAUGUCAACUUUGCGAAGGAACAGGAUGUGAUAAUGUUGACUGCAAAAAGGAAGUAGAACCCGUUUUUUGUUCAAAGACCACAUUACCUGUGCAUCCUGUCAUGAACGCGACACGUAAAACAUAUACCGAUACUUUUAUAAAGAAACCACUAAAACCGAAUGUGACUGAAAUAUUGAUCACAACAGCAACAAUACAACAAAAACGACUAACAUAGAUUGGGAUGUCUUCAAAAGGACGGAUGGUUUGAAGAAUCGUAUUUCUGCACAAUCCACAAUUCCUAUAACACAAGUGGAUGGAGUAACAGUCAAGGCAAACAUAUUUUUAUAUCCAACUUUGAAGAAGACAUUGACCCCAAAACAGAAAAACUCAGCUAUAUUAAUAAACCAACAAGGAAUGAAGAACAUGAGUGUGGAGGUCACAAUUCAAAAUCAUGGCCUAACAACAAUCGUCUUGAGGGUAGAUUCUACCUUGAACAGAGAAGGUAUAAAUAAAGCGAUAUUUAAAUUAUCCAGGAUCCAUUUAAGAAAAUGUGUAAAAAAAAGAAUUAAAACAAUUUUAAACAGAACAACCCGACUUAAAGAUUUCUUAUUUAAAAUUAUACUUCUAAAAUUGACCAUCGGCAAAUGUAAGUCUUUAUACAAUAACAUAAAGUUACAAUUAUCGGUGCUUCAAUCGAAAAGAAAAAGUUGCAAUACCAAAGUCUUUUUGCAUGUGUAUAGAAUUUUCAAAGAUCAAUGCAUGAAUUUGAGGUGCAUAUUUGUACAUAUUUCAGGCCUCGAUUAAAAUCUUAUAUUAAUAAUUCCGUUGAAACACUCUUGUUAUACGUAUUACAUAAAUUAAAUUCAUUGCAAACUACUGUCGCCUUGUGGAACAGUGGUUAGAGCGUCUGCUACAUGUAUAGUGUUGCAAAGUAACGUGUCAAUCCUUCCGUCGCAGUUGUGAGUCAAACGGAAGGACGUGAGACCGGUCAUUCGCAUGAAAGACGAGGUCCCUUGUCGCCACAUUUAGAACAAAAUUUGCAGCUCUCCACCGGAAAGUUUGUGUAGUCUCCAUAUGAGUGAAAAAUUCGCGAGAGAGGCCUUAAACAACUACAAUCAAUCAAUCAAUGAAUCAAUCAUUGUAAAACAAAAAGUGUGUCAUCGCAGACAUAUCUUAUUGACAUAUCCAUUAUUCUCUUAAUCUUUUUUGUUUUUCUUGUGAUUUUGCAAAUUAGUAGAUAGAAUCAUUACAAUUUCCGUUGAAAAAGACUAGUUUCGUGGCACACUUUAUUAGUUCAACUCAGCGAUGUGAGAAAAAACUCUCAGAUUUGAGUAAAAUACAGGCUUUGCGCUCGACUCAAAACGUUCUUGGGCCUGAGGCUUGCUCUAAGGGAUAUAGCAAUGUUACUUUAACUUUUUCAUAUAUGCCAUAACUUUCAUAUGAUGACUAAACAAACAUGUUGUAUAUCAUUAAUGCACAUGUUUAUUAUGUAGUUGAAUAUUUAUUUAUUUUAGCACCAUAAAUAACAAAAUAAAAAUGUUUUGAUCUAUUGGAUUUUCCUGUCAUCAUGCAUAUAAGAAGAUUAGGACGAAUUGAAACUAUAAAGCUUUAACUACCAUUUUUUCUCAACAAAGGACAGGAAAGGUCUUUGAACACUUUGUAUUUAUAGAAGUAAAGAUAGUUCUUAUUUAACAUAUUUGAUUUAAAUGAAAAUUACACCAGUCAUUUUGGUCAAAAUUAAAUCUAUUUUAUGACAUAUAGUAAUUGUUAAACAAGACGAAGUUUUGAAUCUCUCUGAGGUGGCAAGAAUUACAUGUAGAUAAGCACAUGAUCAUGAACAUAAUUAGAUGCAAAAACUGGCCAAACCAACAGAAAUAUAACAUACAUAUGUUUGGAUAUGCAUGUAAUAAUGAAUUUUAUUGUAUUGUUCAUAGUUGUGUUUCUUUUCAUAAGAACCUAGUUCCGGUAUUCAUUUACAAUGCAGCAUCAAAUAACUCAUUAAAAACUUUAAUGUUACAUUAAAAUGUAUUUAUUUUGGUGACUGUCUAAAACCGAUCAUGCCCUCAUAUAACUUUAUGUAAGUAUAUAUUUUUUUUAUAUUUUCAUAUAUUAUAUUAAAACGAAUAUACAUGUAUCAGAGGUGACAGCACAAAUUGAAAUACGAAAUUAAAACCUUAAAAUUUUUACCAACAUGAUCUUUUAGUUGUCAAGGAUGACGAAGAUAAAAGACCAACAACAUUUAUCCAAAUUGGUGCCUCUCUACUGAGCCUAGAUCUUUCAGUAUGUUUAGUGUGCAUUGUCAUCAAAGUCUUCAGGUAUAAAGAAGAAUGUUUAAUGAGACAUAUAGAGAUAACGAACAGUAUUCUGAUCAAAAGUCCAUUUUCAUAUUUUAUAUUAAAACGAAUAUAUAUGUAUCAGAGGUGACAAUACAAAUUGAAAUACGAAAUUAAAACCUUUAAAUCUUUACCAACAUGAUCUUUUAGUUGUCAAGGUAAACGGAGAUAAAAGACCAACAACACUGAUCCAAAUUGAUCCAAAUUGGUGCCUCUCUACUGAGCCUAGGUCUUUCAGUAUGUUUAGUGUGCAUUGUCAUCAGUCUUCAGGUAUAAAGAAGAAUCUUUAAUGAGUCAUAUAGAGAUAACGAACAGUAUUAUGAUCAAAAGUCCAUAAUACAAAACAGAAGCAUAGCAAACACGGAUCUCCAAAACAUCAGAGGUGGGAUCAGGUUCAUGGAGGAGUGAGCGUCCCCUGCUGACCUGUCACAUCCGCUGUUUGCGACUUGUUAUGAUCGGGAAAUAAAAUGAAUCUUACAUGUAUGAGAAUACUUUAUGAUUUAAAUUCCAGAUAACUCUGCAUGCUUAUGCAUUAAGACAAGAUAUUGAGAAAUUACCAGUAUGUUUUGUAAUAGAGUUUUCUUUUUGACGGGGAAGUUACAUCUAAGUUUUAUAUGUACAUUAUUUUUUUUUAUGAUAAUACUUUUCUAUAUUGAUAUAUUUUUUAUUAAUGUAUGUAGGAGAAAGCAAAACGAACGAGAGAAUGAAAGUUUAGCAACACAUAAAAAUUCAAUCCAAAAAAGUUUUAUUGAAGAAAGCAUCUCGGGCUCCAAGGACGCAGGAAUGGAAAGCCUAAUCUAUAGCCCUAAGAAAACAUAUAUGAACAGCGGGCAAAAUAAACAUUCUUUCGAAAUUGACACGUAUGAAUUGGUAGAUAAACCCAAUCAUGAAGAGGGACAAAACACUGGUGGGGAAGAGAGUCACUAUGAUCAUCUUAGAAGUACAGUUCCAACCAAACCUGUAGAGGAGGACAUCUAUAAUCAUCUGCAAACUGAAAGUGAAUCCAAUUAUUCCACAUUCACAGGACGAGAAGAGCACCAGGGAACUGUUGAUGACACCUACAGCCAUGCAAAUUUUCAUAAUGAUAGUCAAAACUAGAUGUAUGUCUCAAUUUUCCUUAUCAUAAAUUUCUCUAAUUGCACUUGUGAAUAUUCUUAAACAAAUAAUAAAAAAAAAGAAAAAUAAAAGAAUGUGUCGUAAUACAUGUAUCUUCCAUAACUUUAGCAGCAGACCCAACCCGUCUCAAAGGUAACGGCAUUUAGAGAGACUGGCGAAGAUAUUACAUUAUGUAUUCAUGGAUGGAAAUUCGACCAAGAUAUUGUGUACAAAUUACUUUGUAAUCCAUUUUAAAUUAUACAAUUGUAAUACCAGUAAUGCGCAUUUCAUCAUGUUUUUUUUUCUUUAUUUCUAAAACGUUCUUCUCGACGAUUUUCCACUUAUCCGGAGACAUCACAGCUUGUCAGUAGAGAUCUGAAAAUUGUGUUCUUUACUCGGACUCAGGGCCAUUGAGCAGAAAGCGAUCUUUUUCGUGCCACCACCCACUGAGACGUAAAUAUAAUCUCUUCUAUCUGCUACUCUUGAGCAUACGACCAAACUACUGUACAUUGCGUGUAUCAUUGUUAAAAAUUAAUUUCAUUUCGUACAAAUAAUAACCAUCAAU